rnacentral:rRNA from 1 species
GACGAACCGUGCGAACGUUGUUCGGAAUCACUGGGCUUAAAGGGCGCGUAGGCGGGUUCGCAAGUCUGUGGUGAAAGCCUCCAGCUUAACUGGAGAAGUGCCAUGGAUACUGCAAAUCUCGAGGAGGGUAGGGGCAUCUGGAACAGUAGGUGGAGCGGUGAAAUGCGUUGAUAUCUACUGGAACUCCGGUGGCGAAGGCGAGGUGCUGGACCCUUUCUGACGCUGAGGCGCGAAAGCCAGGGGAGCGAACGGG